CACCUCGAGAGCCCUGUUGCGGGCGAAGGCCUCGGGGUCGGCAGAUAGCCCAGCGGUGUCCCAGCCGUAGUCGCCGGGGAACUCUCCGGUGAGGUAGGACGGAGUCUGGGCGGAGAAGGGUCCGAGGUACUUCACCCUGUCGGGCCCAUACCACAGGUCGUUGCUCUGCACACGCACCGAUCGAACCAGUUUUCAGUCAGCAAAAACCCGGCAGCAGCUCAAAGAAGAGAAGAGGGAGGGCAACGCAAUGCCAUCUCUUGGAUCGACGGCGUCCUGAUUCACUCACUCACGCACUCACUCACUCACCAUGGUGUACUUGCCGUUCCCCAUCGCCACGGCCUCCCUGAGCGGGCUCGCGCCGGAGCCCCUCGUCUGGCCGAGGAACCGGCUCUUGAGGACCGCCGCGGAGGCUGCUGUCACCGUGGCCGCCAUCUCCUCCUCUCCGCCGGCUGAGUCGCUCUUCCUCCCCUCCGCGAGCAAGUAGACGAUCUCUCCCCGUGCAUCUGCAGGGGCCGGAGCGAGAGUCUGUAA
rnacentral:lncRNA from 1 species